rnacentral:rRNA from 1 species
UACGUAGGGGGCGAGCGUUGUCCGGAUUUAUUGGGCGUAAAGAGCUCGUAGGCGGUUCGAUAAGUCGGACGUGAAAUCUCCACGCUCAACGUGGAGGGGCCGUUCGAUACUGUCGUGACUCGAGUCCGGUAGGGGAGUGUGGAACUCCCGGUGUAGCGGUGAAAUGCGCAGAGAUCGGGAGGAACACCCGUAGCGAAGGCGGCACUCUGGGCCGGUACUGACGCUGAGGAGCGAAAGCGUGGGGAGCAAACAGG